rnacentral:lncRNA from 1 species
CAUUUAUUUCCUAUCGAUUUAAGUUCAAGGAGCACAGAGCAGCUAUGUGGCGGGGAACCUGUGCAGCCUCUUCCCUACCCACCCGCAUUGGUAGUGUCCUGGGGAACAGCAGCAGCCAGGCAGAUUUGUGAAGGAUAUAUACGGAGUGGGAUCUGUGAUCCGGAGCGUGAGGAGGACACCCAGAACUGCCUGAGAGGGCGUUUGCCCCCAUACUGGUAACACUGAAGAGGACUUUAACAAUAGCAAAGUCUGCGUGAGGUAACCGUCAGCCAUAUUAAACGCUAUCCAGGGAGCUCGGGGACGUCCCCACUGGCAAGGCCUUGGAACGUUGAUCAAGGAAAGCUUUACUGCUGUGGCAUCUGCAGAACAGGCCAACAGUAUCCUGAGCAGCAUUAGGAAAAGCAUCAUCAGCAGGUCAAGGGAUGGUCCUUCCCCUCUGCUCAGCCCUGGUGGGACCACACCUGGAGUGCUGUGUGCUGAACUCCACAGUCAAAGAGAGAUGUGGACCUGCUGGAGUGAGCCUAGUGAAGGUCCCAGGGACUAGAGCAUCUCUUAUAUGAAGGAAGGUUGAGAGAGCAGGGACUGUUUAGCCUGGAGAAGAGGAGGCUCAGGGGAGAUCUUAGCAAUGUGUCUAAAUACCUGAUGGGGGGCAGUAAAGAAAAUGGAGCCAAACUUUUUUCAGCAGUACCUGGUGACAGGAUGAGAGGCAAUGGGCACCAACUGAAACAGAGUGAAUUCUAUUUAAACACAUGAAAAACCUUUUUUAAUGUGAAGGUGGUUGAGGAGUGGAACAGGAUGCCCAAACCAAUUGUGGAACCUUCAUCCUCGGAGAUAUCCUGGACAAUGAGCUCUAGGUGACCCUGCUUGAGCAGGGGGGGUUGAACUCGGUGAUCUCCAGAGAUGCCUUCCAACGUCAACCAUUCUGUGUUUCUGUGAUUCUGUGAAUAAGCACUCAGGACUGUGAUCUCACUUGGUAUUUACAAAGAGCUUCUUUCAAACAAAUCACAGACUAAGAAAGAGAGGGCAAUUUCUCAGCAGUCCUGAAUGACGAGUAAGGUUUAGUAAUUUGACAUAAACUCAUCAUGAAUAAUUUAAAAGCAGAAAAAAUAGGUCAUAUUCAUUAGCUAAAUUACAAAUUCUUUUUCAUGCUGCAGUAUUUAAAAUUACUGAUAAGAAAAUAUGCAAUAGCCUCAAGCAUUACUAUGCCUAACAUAUCAUUAAAAAAAAAUCUGUAAGUUUGUAAGUUUCUAAGCAAUCAUUUUGUAUACUCUUG